GGUUCAUGUAGCUCGCUGGCCACCUCACAGGAGACGUAUAAUUUCCCACCCCCACGGUGCAGCGACUUUGCACCAUACCUCAAACGGGAAAACCCCCCUCUUUCCAAGUUUUUUUCACUUCCCUUUAUACCAUGGGCCCAAUUACACAUACAUCCUGUUACCAUCUGUUACCCACAUAUUGCAUACUCCAACAAUGCAUGCG